rnacentral:rRNA from 1 species
UGCAGUCGAACGAUGAAGGAGGAGCUUGCUCCUCUGGAUUAGUGGCGAACGGGUGAGUAACACGUGAGCAAUCUGCCCUUGACUCUGGGAUAAGCGCUGGAAACGGCGUCUAAUACCGGAUACGACCCUCGGAGGCAUCUCCUGUGGGUGGAAAGAACUUCGGUCAAGGAUGAGCUCGCGGCCUAUCAGCUUGUUGGUGAGGUAAUGGCUCACCAAGGCGACGACGGGUAGCCGGCCUGAGAGGGUGACCGGCCACACUGGGACUGAGACACGGCCCAGACUCCUACGGGAGGCAGCAGUGGGGAAUAUUGCACAAUGGGCGCAAGCCUGAUGCAGCAACGCCGCGUGAGGGACGACGGCCUUCGGGUUGUAAACCUCUUUUAGCAGGGAAGAAGCGAGAGUGACGGUACCUGCAGAAAAAGCACCGGCUAACUACGUGCCAGCAGCCGCGGUAAUACGUAGGGUGCAAGCGUUGUCCGGAAUUAUUGGGCGUAAAGAGCUCGUAGGCGGUCUGUCGCGUCUGCUGUGAAAACCCGAGGCUCAACCUCGGGCUUGCAGUGGGUACGGGCAGACUAGAGUGCGGUAGGGGAGAUUGGAAUUCCUGGUGUAGCGGUGGAAUGCGCAGAUAUCAGGAGGAACACCGAUGGCGAAGGCAGAUCUCUGGGCCGUAACUGACGCUGAGGAGCGAAAGCGUGGGGAGCAAACAGGCUUAGAUACCCUGGUAGUCCACGCCGUAAACGUUGGGAACUAGAUGUGGGGACCAUUCCACGGUCUCCGUGUCGUAGCUAACG